GGGUUGUUUGGGUGAUGAGUAAGUGAUGGGAAAUGGGAAAAAAUUUCUGGGUUUAUUUAUUGGUUUAUGAGAAGUGGGCAAAGGACACUAAGUGGGAUAUGGGUGUUAAUCAUUUUUUCUUUUUGGGGGUCUGUUUCUGUUUGGGUCCUGAGAAAGUGGUGGAAAAUGAAAGAUAACUUUUUUUUUUUUUGUGAGUUUAUGUUGUUUUGGUUAAGAUAUCAGACGUGAACCUUCAGCUUUUUCCAUGGUGUCUUGAAAGCGUUGUUCAUGCUAAAACUUAGGAGUCGAAUGUUGGAAAUGCUUAUCUCUUGAGCUGUGCUGGAUUGUAUUUCUGAUCUUAGAGUGUUGUUUUUACCCAGAUUCUGGUGUGUUACAAGUUACCUCAGCCUUGGCAGUGGAGAUAUUGAUACCUCAACUGUGGUGAAGGCUGAUUCAGACGGUUGUCUUGGUGGAGCAUCAGGGUCAUCUCUGGUUGUAAAUUCUUCAUGGAAGAACACUUCUGGGGAGUGGCAUGUGGGUUAUAAAGUCAUAUACAAGCUUUGUACAGACACAUUGACUUCUCGUUUGAAGAAGAAGGAAAAAGUGGAACAAAAAGCAUAGGAAGCAAUAGCUGAGGCUGUAAAGCAUCUUGAUGAAUUUGACCAGGUUUUGGAGAAUUCUGUUGCUUAAUUUCUUACAUGUUGCAUUUUUUUCCAAAUCACCUAUUCCGUAUUGCACUUAAUUUCUGUUGUUAAUUAGUCAGUGACUCUGCAUAAUAGACCUGCAAAUUAUUGACUUUAAAAAACAUCAUUCAAUUCUUGAUGCACUAUUAUUGUUUUCACUCCCCCUUAUUGUAAUUUGUAAGUUGAUGUUUUAUGAUACUUUAUUGAUGUCUGGGCAUUUUACUUUUUGUCUCUUUGUAUUCAUGUUCAUCUGGAGAAAUUCAGUAUGCUAACUGCAUAAAAUGGUUAAAGAUUGUGGGUCAAAAGUUUCCAGCUGUCAAUAAAAGUUUAUAAAUAGAUUAUUUACAAGCUCAAGCGGUCCUCAGGGCAUCUAUGUAAUAUAUUGCUGACACGUUCUUGUUUCAGUACUACACUUGCAUUUCCUGCAUCAUGAUCAUCACCAGCUAUUAUAUAACUUCUUGUAAAUUGCCUGGUCCAGAAACACAUUAAGAAGGGCUUGUGAAGACCUCCAAAACAGGGUUGACUUCCUCCAGAAAUAGGUGGAAAGCUAUGAUGACAAGGGACCUAUUAUAGAUGCUGUUGUUUGGAAUGGAGAACCAUGGAGGGCCACUCUUGAUAGACAGAGUCUUGAGGAUGACCUGGGGUGUGGGAAACUUGCUGAUUUUGUAACCGUAACUAAUUAUAGGUAUGUUUGAUCCACCAGUAACAAAAUUGUGUGCUGGAAUAUCUUUUAUAUUUUUCUUAUAGUUUUAAAUGGUGAUAAUAUGUGUUUGAAGGAAGCUGAAAGCCUGAAACAUCCUUUCUAUAUAGGAGUUCUAAUUUUGAUGCAGUUUUUCGGGCUUAAGGUGGAUUAUUGUUGUAUGAAUUAUGAAAACUGUUGUUGAGUUACUUUCCAAUGAAGCAUCUGAAUUUGCUCCCUCUGAUUUAUUUUGGGGAAAAGAAAGGGGCUUGACUGUGCUUUUUGGGCUUACAUAAAAUCAAUUGGCAGCAUUUGAAAGCUCAACUUGAUUUUGAUAUUGCAUGGUGUUUUGAAGAUUCUGUUCAUUGUUAGUCCAGCCCCAGAUCCUGGAGAUGGAACUUGCACUUGGAAACAACCUUUUAUGUUGUUUGUGAUAGGCAUCUCUAAAUUCGCAUAAGCUCCUAAGGUAAACAGCUUAGGAAAGGCCUUGUCUGAACAAUAGUCAUGCAGAGAGAUGUGAAGCUCAAACACAAAUAUGCCCAGAAAUGAGAAUUUAUGUUGAUGUUUCAAAUCUUUGUUCUGGCUACUUUGCUCAAUCCUCUGAUUUUAAGAAUGUAUUCUGAUUACCACUGACUUGUUAUUGUUAUUAUUAUUAUUAUUAUUAUUCCUUUUUCCUUCCAUCAUAUCUUAUUCUUCUUUUCUUUUAUCUCACAUCUGGGCUAGAGUUGGAGAUGAAGAAGGUGUUUUUGUCUCCAACGACUUUAAUGUUACGUACGCUGACUUUUCAGAAUCGAAAGAAAGUUUGGCAUGUUUAGCAAACCAGAUGCUUGCACAUGUGUUGUUAAUGCAUAUGAUCAAGGCAGUAUCUUGAGUAUAGUGACAGAUAGCUCCCCCAAUUACCAUUUGAAAAUAACAUGCUGUCUUCCUGCAUUUCCUUUACAGUAAACAAAUUUUCCUUUUGAAAUAUGCCAUUGUUGUGCAAGAGCCAAUGUUGAAUGAAGUUGCCCCUGGAGCACAGACAAUAUCUUGUAAAAUUGGAGACGCAUGCCUAGGUUCAACAGAAACAGGAACAGGCUUGACCAGAUCAUUAAUAGCUGCUGUCAAGUAUAAGUGUGAUCUCGCCAUGAUGAGUUAUGGAGAACCUACAAUGAUGCUUGAAUAUGGAUGAUUUGUUGACCUUGUUAACGAACAUUGACCACUGUGGGCUCACCUGGUGGUACCACUUCAAGUAUUGUUGGUGUCGAUGUGUAUGUACUUUCUCCUGCAAUGGCUGCUGGAGCUCAUUGUGUAGUUGAACCUCCGUCUGAAGGCCUUGAGUACUCAUGGUAUACAAUCUUCCCUUAAGAAAGUUUUUGAGUUUCAGCAAGUUGUUAGCAGUAAAUUAUUCAUUUGAAUCUUGAAGCAUAGCUGAAUGAAAUGGGGUGCAGAUCUAGCCAUGAACCAACAGUUGAUGGUGAUCUUGGGGUCUGCAUAAGCCCUCCAGGAAAAUUUGAUUUUGCAAGUGCAUUAUGCAUUACCAUAUGAUAUCUUUGUGCUUAUAAAAGUAAUAUUUAGAUGUGAA